rnacentral:rRNA from 1 species
AAAUUUGAAAUCGGCCCUCCGGUCGAGUUGUAAUUUGUAGAGGAUGCUUCUGGGCAGCGGCCGGUCUAAGUUCCUUGGAACAGGACGUCAUAGAGGGUGAGAAUCCCGUAUGUGACCGGCCCGCACCCUCCACGUAGCUCCUUCGACGAGUCGAGUUGUUUGGGAAUGCAGCUCUAAAUGGGAGGUAAAUUUCUUCUAAAGCUAAAUACUGGCCAGAGACCGAUAGCGCACAAGUAGAGUGAUCGAAAGAUGAAAAGCACUUUGGAAAGAGAGUUAAACAGCACGUGAAAUUGUUGAAAGGGAAGCGCUUGCAACCAGACUCGUCGGCGGUGUUCCACCGGUCUUCUGACCGGUCUACUCUCCGCCGGCGGGCCAACAUCGUCUGGGGCCGCCGGAUAAGACGUCGGGAAUGUAGCUCCUCGGAGUGUUAUAGCCCUUCGUGAUGCGGCGCGCCCCGGGCGAGGUCCGCGCUUCGGCAAGGAUGUUGGCGUAAUGGUUGUCAGCGGCCCGUCUUGAAACACGGACCAAGGAGUCUAACAUCUAUGCGAGUGUUCGGGUGUCAAACCCCUACGCGGAAUGAAAGUGAACGGAGGUGAGAACUUCGGUGCAUCAUCGACCGAUCCUGAUGUCCUCGGAUGGAUUUGAGUAAGAGCAUAGCUGUUGGGACCCGAAAGAUGGUGAACUAUGCCUGAAUAGGGUGAAGCCAGAGGAAACUCUGG